rnacentral:rRNA from 1 species
CGAGUUUUUGACGCAGUUGCGCCCGAAGCCAUUAGGCUAAGGGCACGUCUGCCUGGGCGUCA